rnacentral:rRNA from 1 species
CGUAGGGGCGAGCGUUGUCCGGAAUGAUUGGGCGUAAAGGGCGCGUAGGCGGCUGUGCAAGUCAGUAGUGGAAGCCCAGCUUUUAAGGUUGGAAGUGCUAUUGAAACUGUGCAGAUUGAGUGCAGGAGAGGUUAUCGGAAUUCCCGGUGUAGCGGUGAAAUGCGUAGAGAUCGGGAGGAACACCAGUGGCGAAGGCGGGUGACUGGACUGCAACUGACGCUGAGGCGCGAAAGUGUGGGGAGCAAACAGGAUUAGAUA